rnacentral:tRNA from 1 species
GCCGACGUAGCUUAGCUGGCUAAAGCAGCAGUUUUGUAAACUGCAGAGCGUGGGUUCGAAUCCCACCGUCGGCU